rfam:Bacillus weihaiensis strain Alg07 chromosome, complete genome.
AGGUGAUGCCUCCUUACCUUUAUCAAUGGAGGCACUCGGCUAUGCUGUGGGUUGUUCUUGACCUUAAACACGAUGUUGUUGGUGGUAUGGCGUGAGGGUGGGUUGGAUGCCCG